ACCUGGUCUUGACAUAGUAAGAACUUUCCAGAGAUGGAUUGGUGCCUUCGGGAACUUACAUACAGGUGCUGCAUGACUGUCGUCAGCUCGUGUCGUGAGAUGUUGGGUUAAGUCCCGCAACGAGCGCAACCCUUUUCCUUAUUUGCCAGCGGGUUAAGCCGGGAACUUUAAGGAUACUGCCAGUGACAAACUGGAGGAAGGCGGGGACGACGUCAAGUCAUCAUGGCCCUUACGACCAGGGCUACACACGUGCUACAAUGGUCGGUACAAAGGGUUGCUACCACGCGAGUGGAUGCUAAUCUCAAAAAGCCGAUCGUAGUCCGGAUUGGAGUCUGCAACUCGACUCCAUGAAGUCGGAAUCGCUAGUAAUCGCGGAUCAGAAUGCCGCGGUGAAUACGUUCCCGGGCCUUGUACACACCGCCCGUCACACCAUGGGAGUUUGUUGCACCAGAAGUAGGUAGUCUAACCGCAAGGAGGACGCUUACCACGGUGUGGCAGAUGACUGGGGUGAAGUCGUAACAAGGUAAGCGUAGAUGA
rnacentral:rRNA from 1 species